UACGUAGGGUCCGAGCGUUGUCCGGAAUUAUUGGGCGUAAAGGGCUCGUAGGCGGUUGGUCACGUCGGGAGUGAAAACUCAGGGCUCAACCCUGAGCGUGCUUCCGAUACGGGCCGACUAGAGGUAUGCAGGGGAGAACGGAAUUCCUGGUGUAGCGGUGGAAUGCGCAGAUAUCAGGAGGAACACCGGUGGCGAAAGGCGGUUCUCUGGGGCAUUACCUGACGCUGAGGAGCGAAAGCAUGGGGAGCGAACAGG
rnacentral:rRNA from 1 species